GAUCCUGGCUCAGGAUGAACGCUGGCGGCGUGCUUAACACAUGCAAGUCGAACGGGAAACCUUUUAUUGAAGCUUCGGCAGAUUUAGCUGGUUUCUAGUGGCGGACGGGUGAGUAACGCGUGGGUAACCUGCCUUAUACAGGGGGAUAACAACCAGAAAUGGUUGCUAAUACCGCAUAAGCGCACAGGACCGCAUGGUCUAGUGUGAAAAACUCCGGUGGUAUAAGAUGGACCCGCGUUGGAUUAGCUGGUUGG
rnacentral:rRNA from 1 species